rnacentral:RNase_P_RNA from 3 species
AAGUGCGGACAGUCGCUGUUCAUGCUUUUGCAUGGAUAGAGGAAAGUCCAGGCUCGCCCGGGCUGAGAGGCUCGGAGUGUUUGUGCCUGCCGCAAGGCAGGGCAGUCGCGCAAGCGGCUGACGGCGGUGAAAUCGGCUACGUUCCUUUUGGAAUAUGCCGAGAAUAGCCUGAAAGUGCCACAGUGACGUAGCUCUACUGGAAACAGUAGGGGUGGAACGAGGUAAACCCCGCAAGCGAGCAACCCAAAUUUUGGUAGGGGCACUAUCCGAAGGGAAAUGAACCGGAGGAUAGACGGGACAGGAGUCUCGUAGAUAGAUGACUGUCGCUUCCAUGUACCAGGCUGGCUGCCGUGAUGAGUACGGGAAGUACAAAACCUGGCUUACAGCA